rnacentral:ncRNA from 1 species
GAACAAUGUAGGUAAGGGAAGUCGACAAAAUGGAUCCGUAACUUUUGGAAAAGGAUUGGCUCUGAGGGUUGGGCCUAGGGGUCUGCAUCCUCAACCCGUGGGCUUUCAACAGUCUGCUCGUGGGACUGUCAUUGAUUAAUUCUACCUCCUUUUGAAUGGUAGUGCAACUAAUUAAUGCUACCUCCUUUU